AACAGGUGCAUAUAUUUCAAGAUCAUCUGCAAUUACAAAAAGAGAAGGAAUUCCGCUAUCAGGAACAGCUUCAAAAAGAAAUAAAAGAGAAGGAGCAGAUACAGCAAGAUCGAGACAAAGAGCAGCAACAGUUUCUUCAAGAAAAGACAACACUUAGUCAGCAACUUGAUGAUGCUACCACUCUCCUUGAGCAAGCAGAAAAGGAUAAAUCAACUCUUGAAUAAGAAUAUAAUGAGAAGCUCAAAGUUAAAGUUUCUGAAAUAUUGGAAGAGAAGACACAAGUAGAGGAGAAGAAACAGAUUAUUACUGAAGGUUAUGAGAAACUGAAACUCAAAGUAGCUGAUAUGGAAGAAGAAUAUCUCAAGGAGAAACAGAUCAUUAUUGACGACAAUCAAAAUCUCAUUUCUGAAAAAGACAAAGUUAUAGCCAAACUGACAUCACAAGUAGAGGAACAAUCACAGAAUGAGAAACAGAUCAUUACUGAAAAGGAGUU